AUUACCCCAAGGUUCCUCACUUUGUCACGAAACUUGGUUAAGCGUUAGCUUGUCAAACUGAUGUCAAUGUUUCGCUGGACCAAGGACCAUCAUUUCAGUCUUGUCUGAAUUUAAAAGUAAGAAAUCACUA